AUUGAACGCUGGCGGCAGGCCUAACACAUGCAAGUCGAACGGUAACAGGAAACAGCUUGCUGUUUCGCUGACGAGUGGCGGACGGGUGAGUAAUGUCUGGGAAACUGCCUGAUGGAGGGGGAUAACUACUGGAAACGGUAGCUAAUACCGCAUAACGUCGCAAGACCAAAGAGGGGGACCUUCGGGCCUCUUGCCAUCGGAUUUGCCCAGAUGGGAUUAGCCAGUAGGUGGGGUAACGGCUCACCUAGGCGACGAUCCCUAGCUGGUCUGAGAGGCUGACCAGCCACACUGGAACUGAGACACGGUCCAGACUCCUACGGGAGGCAGCAGUGGGGAAUAUUGCACAAUGGGCGCAAGCCUGAUGCAGCCAUGCCGCGUGUAUGAAGAAGGCCUUCGGGUUGUAAAGUACUUUCAGCGGGGAGGAAGGGAGUAAAGUUAAUAACCGCAGUGAUUGACGUUACUCGCAGAAGAAGCACCGGCUAACUCCGUGCCAGCCGCCACUGUAA
rnacentral:rRNA from 1 species